UCUGAACCUCAGGUACUGCUUGGUGUUCCAGAUACGUGUAUAGCAGGAGUUAAGAGACAAAGAACGGGAUGAAGAACCUACUAUUUAUAGCACUACUGUUUCUGUCUUUGGCACUGAUUGCUCUAGGA